rnacentral:rRNA from 1 species
UUAGCGGCGGACGGGUGAGUAACACGUGGGUAACCUACCUAUAAGACUGGGACAACUUCGGGAAACCGGAGCUAAUACCGGAUAAUAUGUUGAACCGCAUGGUUCAAUAGUGAAAGAUGGUUUUGCUAUCACUUAUAGAUGGACCCGCGCCGUAUUAGCUAGUUGGUGAGGUAACGGCUCACCAAGGCAACGAUACGUAGCCGACCUGAGAGGGUGAUCGGCCACACUGGAGCUGAGACACGGUCCAGACUCCUACGGGAGGCAGCAGUAGGGAAUCUUCCACAAUGGGCGAAAGCCCGACGGAGCAACGCCGCGUGAGUGAUGAAGGUCUUAGGAUCGUAAAACUCUGUUAUUAGGGAAGAACAAACGUGUAAGUAACUGUGCACGUCUUGACGGUACCUAAUCAGAAAGCCACGGCUAACUACGUGCCAGCAGCCGCGGUAAUACGUAGGUGGCAAGCGUUAUCCGGAAUUAUUGGGCGUAAAGCGCGCGUAGGCGGUUUUUUAAGUCUGAUGUGAAAGCCCACGGCUCAACCGUGGAGGGUCAUUGGAAACUGGAAAACUUGAGUGCAGAAGAGGAAAGUGGAAUUCCAUGUGUAGCGGUGAAAUGCGCAGAGAUAUGGAGGAACACCAGUGGCGAAGGCGACUUUCUGGUCUGUAACUGACGCUGAUGUGCGAAAGCGUGGGGAUCAAACAGGAUUAGAUACCCUGGUAGUCCACGCCGUAAACGAUGAGUGCUAAGUGUUAGGGGGUUUCCGCCCCUUAGUGCUGCAGCUAACGCAUUAAGCACUC